rnacentral:lncRNA from 1 species
AGAAGGUUUCAGUUGCUAAUUCCUUACUGGCUGAAGAAAAGGUGAUUCCCAUUAUAAGACAGCUUAACUGCCCAUUGGCACCAUCUUCAAUGUGAGAGAGAUGAACCCAAGUUUGUUGCUCUCUCUGGUGUGAGAACAAAGAGCAGCAAACAAAAAUACAGGUUUUGCCACUGAUUAGUUGUUGAAUUGGCCAGCUGACAGCUAAGUGGAAAUUGCAAAAUCCUGGUCAUUCCUUAUAAUUCAGAGGAACUUGGUAUUUUCAGACAUGUGCCUUGGAAUUUAAUAGAACAGAUUUCAAAGAAACCAGAGAAAAUUUGUGUGGAAACACAACUAGAGACUCUAGAAAAAAAGAUGGCUCCAAGAAGUUGGUAUGAAACAAAACUAAUUAAGAACUUUCUACCUCCUCUUUGUAUAUAGUGAAUUCUUACCUGCUGUGCUGAAAUAAACAGU